rnacentral:rRNA from 1 species
GAUCCUGGCUCAGGAUGAACGCUAGCUACAGGCUUAACACAUGCAAGUCGAGGGGAAACGACAUUGGAAGCUUGCUUCCUUUGGGCGUCGACCGGCGCACGGGUGAGUAACGCGUAUCCAACCUUCCCGCAAGUAAGGGAUAACCCGUAGAAAUGCGGCCUAAUACCUUAUGUUUUCCUUAGAGGGCAUCUGAUGAGGAACAAAGAUCCGUCGCUUGCGGAUGGGGAUGCGUCUGAUUAGUUAGUCGGCGGGGUAACGG